UACGGGAGGCAGCAGUGGGGAAUAUUGCACAAUGGGCGCAAGCCUGAUGCAGCCAUGCCGCGUGUAUGAAGAAGGCCUUCGGGUUGUAAAGUACUUUCAGUCGUGAGGAAGGUGUUAAGGUUAAUAACCUUAGCAAUUGACGUUAGCGACAGAAGAAGCACCGGCUAACUCCGUGCCAGCAGCCGCGGUAAUACGGAGGGUGCGAGCGUUAAUCGGAAUUACUGGGCGUAAAGGGCACGCAGGCGGUUAAUUAAGUUGGAUGUGAAAUCCCCGGGCUUAACCUGGGAAUGGCAUUCAAGACUGGUUAGCUAGAGUCUUGUAGAGGGGGUAGAAUUCCAUGUGUAGCGGUGAAAUGCGUAGAGAUGUGGAGGAAUACCGGGUGGCGAAGGCGGCCCCUGGGACAAAGGACUGACGCUCAUGUGCGAAAAGCGUGGGGAGCAAAACAGGAUUAGAUACC
rnacentral:rRNA from 1 species